AGCCCGCUCAGAAACUUAAAGGAAUUGACGGGGGCCCGCACAAGCGGAGGAGCAUGUGGUUUAAUUCGAUGAUACGCGAGGAACCUUACCUGGGCUCGAACGUAAGAUGACUGUAGGUGAAAGCUUACAUCUCUUCGGAGCAUUUUACGAGGUGCUGCAUGGUUGUCGUCAGCUCGUGCCGUGAGGUGUCGGGUUAAGUCCCAUAACGAGCGCAACCCCUACCUUUAGUUGCCAUCAGGUUAAGCUGGGGACUCUAAAGGAACUGCCUACGCAAGUAGUGAGGAAGGCGGGGAUGACGUCAAAUCAGCACGGCCCUUACGUCCAGGGCUACACACGUGCUACAAUGGCCGAUACAGAGGGCAGCUACCUGGUGACAGGAUGCAAAUCUCCAAAGUCGGUCUCAGUUCGGAUCGGAGUCUGCAACCCGACUCCGUGAAGUUGGAUUCGCUAGUAAUCGCGCAUCAGCAUGGCGCGGUGAAUACGUUCCCGGGCCUU
rnacentral:rRNA from 1 species